rnacentral:lncRNA from 1 species
GUAUUUAUGUUAUGUAAUCUGCUUCUAUGCUUUACUAUGUGUUUGUGUGGUAUCUCGUGCCUUGAGCCGGGGGUCUAUCGGAAACAGCCUUUCUACUUCUUUAGAGGUAGAGGUAUGGACUGCGUACAUCUUACCCCCUCAGACCCCACUAGGUGGGAAUACACUGGGUUUGUUGUUGUUGUUGUUAAUCAUCAAAACUUCAUAUUGUUAGCCUAUCUGAUAGCCCUCCCUAGAUCACGGCUCUUAGCUCAACAAAGAUACUAUAGGUUGCAUGCGACUACGCGCCACACGUGUAAAUCUUUAGUUUUAAUCGAGUAAACUCACAGUGUAGAUACCUUGAAGAAAUAGAGAAAAUCUGUUUUUUCUUGUGGACUUUGGAUAAAGAUUCUUCUUUUAGUAGUCUAUAAAAUUUGAAGUGAACUAUCUGAUGGUUGAAGUGGUGGUUGUGAAUCAGCUUAGUUGUCUUUGAGAUUUGCAUGAUUUCUGUUUGUUGGACAAUCUUGAUCCAUUGAACAUCUGGCAAGCUUAAAAAGGCUCUUGCAUGAGGUAAUUCAUUUGUUAUAUUUGAUUAAUAAUUUGUUACUCCUCUCACUAAAUUCCUUGUAGGAUCAUGCAUUUGUUUUAUUCAGUCUCUGAUUUUU